rnacentral:rRNA from 1 species
GUAGGGAAUCUUGCGCAAUGGGCGAAAGCCUGACGCAGCAACGCCGCGUGCGGGACGAAGGCCCUCGGGUUGUAAACCGCUUUCAGUAGGAACGAAACUGACGGUACCUGCAGAAGAAGGUGCGGCCAACUACGUGCCAGCAGCCGCGGUGACACGUAGGCACCAAGCGUUGUCCGGAUUUAUUGGGCGUAAAGAGCUCGUAGGCGGUUCAGUAAGUCGGGUGUGAAAACUCUGGGCUUAACCCAGAGACGCCACCCGAUACUGCUGUGACUAGAGUGCGGUAGGGGAGUGGGGAAUUCCUGGUGUAGCGGUGAAAUGCGCAGAUAUCAGGAGGAACACCGGUGGCGAAGGCGCCACUCUGGGCCGUAACUGACGCUGAGGAGCGAAAGCGUGGGUAGCAAACAGGAUUAGAAACCCUAGUAGUCC